GAUGAACGCUGGCGGCGUGCUUAACACAUGCAAGUCGAACGAGAAGUGGAGACGGAAACCUUCGGGCGGAAGACUUUAUUUCGAGUGGCGGACGGGUGAGUAACGCGUGGGUAACCUGCCUCAUACAGGGGGAUAUCAGUUGGAAACGACUGUUAAUACCGCAUAAGACCACAGCACCGCAUGGUGCGGGGGUAAAAACUCCGGUGGUAUGAGAUGGACCCGCGUUCGAUUAGCCAGUUGGCGGGGUAACGGCCCACCAAAGCGACGAUCGAUAGCCGAUCUGAGAGGAUGACCGGCCACAUUGGGACUGAGACACGGCCCAAACUCCUACGGGAGGCAGCAGUGGGGAAUAUUGCACAAUGGGGGAAACCCUGAUGCAGCGACGCCGCGUGAGUGAAGAAGUAUUUCGGUAUGUAAAGCUCUAUCAGCAGGGAAGAAAAUGACGGUACCUGAGGAAGAAGCCCCGGCUAACUACGUG
rnacentral:rRNA from 1 species